GGCUCCUUGUGAUAAAAAAAUAAGGAGUCGGACCUGCCCAGUGAAUUUUUUUUUAACGGCCGCGGUACUCUGACCGUGCAAAGGUAGCAUAAUCAUUUGCCUUAUAAUUGAAGGCUUGUAUGAAUGGUUUGACAAGAAUGAAGCUGUCUCUUUAUAAUUAAUUUGAAUUUUAUUUAUAGGUGAAGAAGCCUAUAUAACAUUGAAAGACAAGAAGACCCUAUCGAGCUUUAAAAAAAUUAAUAAAUUAAAAAAUUAAUAUUAAAUAUAAAUUUCAUUAUUAAGUCAUUUUAGUUGGGGCGACUAAGGAACAAAUAAAGCUUCCUCUAUAUAUGUUAAGACAUUCAGGUUUUUGAUCCAAAAAUUUUGAUUAAAGGAAUUAGUUACCGUAGGGAUAACAGCAUUAUCUUUUUUGAGAGCUCUAAUCGAAAAAAAGGUUUGUGACCUCGAUGUUGGACCAGAAUAUCCUAAAGAUGCAGCCGUCUUUAAGGGUUGGUCUGUUCGACCAUUAAAAUUCUACGUGAUCUGAGUUCAGACCGGCGUGAGCCAGGUCAGUUUCUAUCUUCAAUUUCUAUAAUAAGCUUAGUACGAAAGGACCAGUUUAUUGUAAAAUAUUUACUUUAUUUGAUAAAAUAUAAAGUUCUAUUAAAUUUAUAAUAAAAUAUGCAAGAUCAUGUAUCAAAUUAGCAAAGAUUUAAUGCAAUUGACUUAGGAUCAAUAGACAUAGGUGAAAUUCCUUUAUUUGAUAGAUAAAGGUGGCAGAUGAA
rnacentral:rRNA from 1 species